UGGGGAAUUUUGGACAAUGGGCGCAAGCCUGAUCCAGCCAUGCCGCGUGCGGGAAGAAGGCCUUCGGGUUGUAAACUGCUUUUGUACGGAACGAAAAGGCUCUGGUUAAUACCUGGGGCUCAUGACGGUACCGUAAGAAUAAGCACCGGCUAACUACGUGCCAGCAGCCGCGGUAAUACGUAGGGUGCAAGCGUUAAUCGGAAUUACUGGGCGUAAAGCGUGCGCAGGCGGUUAUGCAAGACAGAGGUGAAAUCCCCGGGCUCAACCUGGGAACUGCCUUUGUGACUGCAUAGCUAGAGUACGGUAGAGGGGGAUGGAAUUCCGCGUGUAGCAGUGAAAUGCGUAGAUAUGCGGAGGAACACCGAUGGCGAAGGCAAUCCCCUGGACCUGUACUGACGCUCAUGCACGAAAGCGUGGGGAGCAAACA
rnacentral:rRNA from 1 species